GAUGAAGAACGUAGUGAAAUGCGAUAAGUAAUGUGAAUUGCAGAAUUCAGUGAAUCAUCGAAUCUUUGAACGCACCUUGCGCCCUUUGGCUAUUCUGAAGGGCAUGCCUGUUUGAGUAUCAUGAACACCUCAACUCUCAUGGUUUGCCAUGAUGAGCUUGGACUUUGGGGGUCUUGCUGGCCUACGGUCAGCUCCUCUCAAAUGAAUCAGCUUGCCAGUGUUUGGUAGAGUCGCAGGUGUGAUAACUAUCUACGCUUGUGGUUUUCUGCCAGAUAACCUUCAGUGAUGGAGGUUCGCUGGAGCUUAUAAAUGUCUCUCCCCAGUGAGGACAGCUUUUUGAACGUUUGAUCUCAAAUCAGGUAGGACUACCCGCCGAACUUAAGCAUAUCAAUAAGCGGAGGA
rnacentral:misc_RNA from 1 species